GGACCCCCGUGAUGUCCAGCACUGGGCUCUGAACCCCCUGAGGACAUGGUGCCCCCCCCGGGACCUUUGACACCGGGGGUCUGAGGGGCCC
rfam:Tupaia chinensis contig31240, whole genome shotgun sequence.